GGUCCUGGAGUGUAGUGGAUAAAUCACGCCGGUCCUAUGAGAAGUGUACAGCGAAUUGAUUGUUGCACGCUCCGAUGACAGCUGGCAACCCGAGUUCGAUUCUCGGCAGGACUA